AAGCAUGUGAGGUCACCUAAUUGAGAAAGAAGUUUUCUUACAGUGUUAACAUGCAUUUUUUGAACCCUGCAAACAUCUUGUCUUUUAGAAGAAUACAUCUGUAUAGAAUUGUGUCUGACAAGAAUUCCUGAAAUGCAUUCUUCUUCAUGUGAGCAGAUCUCUAGCUAACAAAGAAGUUGCAACUUCUUGGGUAAGGAAUUCACAAAAUAAACCCUACAUAGAUGGCAAGAAGGCAAUGGCAAUCCAUCAUCAUGUGAAUAAGAUUUCCAAACAACUUCUUACUUACUAAGGUGCAGCAGCCCAUAAUACUACAUUUCAUGGAUUCUCAA